rnacentral:snoRNA from 8 species
AAGACUAUACUUUCAGGGAUCAUUUCUAUAGUUCGUUACUUGAGAAAUGUGUGUCUAAAGUGGUAGGUCUCGCUAUCCAU